CUUUUGCCCUGUUUUUAAAGCUGGAAUGCUUCAGUUCUUGUUCAUUGUAGUUGCAUAAUUAAACAGCGAACAGCACAUUAUUCAGAAUUUUCUCUUUUUGUGUUCCACAGAUAAAAAAGAAAGAAGAAAGUCAGGCUUUAACAUAAACAAACUGAACAAAACAAAAAUGAAGCAGCUCUUGGAGUUCAAGAUCCUCCAGCUCUCGGUUAUAAAGCCCAUCUCUGACACAAUUGUAUUCAUUUGGAGAGGGUUGGGAGGACUUUGCCAUUCCUCCCCCGUUUGUGAGCAGGCUUGGUCAGAUCGUGGGAAAGGCCCUCCACGUAAAGCAGUUUAUUCUUUGUCACUGUUGUUCUUGUGUAAUUGAUCUCACUCCACGUCGAUGGGCGGAAGACUUCAAAGACACGCGGCUGUUGGAGGUCGAUCUGCUUGUGCUCGCGGCCUUGAGGGACAAAAAACAACUGCUUCCCGAACGCUUACAACGCACACUUUUGAUGAGUGCGUAAAAUUGCAUAGUAUGAGGCGUGACGUGAACUGUGUGUAUUUGGUGGAAACGCCACAUUAUGUAUUUAUGCUGUAAUUAAAUUAACCAGGCCUAUAAUUAAAUUGCUCAGUGGCCAUAUAGGACUUACAUAACAAACAAAAGUUUAUUUGAAUGAUUUUAUUUUUUUAUAAUGUUCGAAGUCCAUUUUUUAUAGGCUAUUUUUAUUUUUAACCAAAGUUAUAGCAUGAAACAGCCUAGUCCGAAUCCUGAACUAACGACUCGUAUAAAGCGGUUAUUUUUUGUGAAUCAAAAUCAUACAGCGGCACCAGUGUAUUCCGAUUCACAAAGAGUGAAUGCUUGCUUUAUUUAUUCAUUCAUUCAUUGAAAAACAUGCAGCGCGACCAGUGUUAUCCGAUUCGGAACUAAUGAUUUUUUUCUAAUAAAUCCAAACACAUUUGAAUCAGCAGGGUUACUCAAUUAAUCUGACUCAACUAUUGAACAGCAAAUCGUGUUUUUAAAUGUUUUAUUAGCAACAAAUACCAAUUUUUCACAUGCAUAAUUACAAACCGCAAAUCAUGAAUCAAGAACUAGCUUCUAAAGCA